rnacentral:rRNA from 1 species
GUGUCAGCAGCCGCGGUAAGACGAAGGAUGCAAGCGUUAUCCGGAUUCAUUGGGUUUAAAGGGAGCGCAGGCGGAUUUGUAAGUCAGUGGUGAAAGGCUUAAGCUUAACUUGGGAACUGCCAUUGAUACUAUAAGUCUUGAAUGUUGUUGAGGUUUGCGGAAUGGGUCAUGUAGCGGUGAAAUGCAUAGAUAUGACCCGGAACACCUAUUGCGAAGGCAGCAGGCUAAACAAAUAUUGACGCUGAGGCUCGAAAGCGUGGGGAUCAAACAGGAUUAGAUACCCUGGUAGUCCACGCCCUAAACUAUGAUUACUCGACAUACGCGAUACACUGUGUGUGUCUGAGCGAAAGCAUUAAGUAAUCCACCUGGGAAGUACGACCGCAAGGUUGAA